AAGGUCUCCGGUUGGUGACAGCGGAGGGAUCA
rnacentral:rRNA from 1 species